rnacentral:rRNA from 1 species
GUCAAGUGAAUAAGCGCAUAUGGUGGAUGCCUAGGCGGUAGAAGGCGAUGAAGGACGUGGUAGGCUGCGAUAAGCCUCGGGGAGCUGUCAAACUAGCUUUGAUCCGAGGAUUUCCGAAUGGGGAAACCCGGCUGUCUUUGGACAGUCAUCGUGCACUGAAUACAUAGGUGUACGAAGCGAACCCGGGGAACUGAAACAUCUAAGUACCCGGAGGAAAAGAAAUCAAUUGAGAUUCCCUUAGUAGCGGCGAGCGAACGGGGACCAGCCCUAAAGCGGUUAUUGUUUUAGUAGAAUGCUCUGGAAAGUGCAGCCAUAGCGGGUGAUAGCCCCGUAUACGAAAAAGCAAUUUCUGUUAUUCGAGUAGGACGGGACACGUGUUAUCUUGUCUGAAUAUGGGGGGCCCAUCCUCCAAGGCUAAAUACUCUCUACCGACCGAUAGUGAACUAGUACCGUGAGGGAAAGGCGAAAAGAACCCCGGAGAGGGGAGUGAAAUAGAACCUGAAACCGUAUGCGUACAAGCAGUGGGAGCAGACUUGUUCUGUGACUGCGUACCUUUUGUAUAAUGGGUCAGCGACUUACUUUGUGUGGCAAGGUUAACCGUAUAGGGGAGCCGUAGGGAAACCGAGUCUUAACCGGCGUUUUAGUCGCACAGAGUAGACCCGAAACCGGACGAUCUAUCCAUGGCCAGGUUGAAGGUGGGGUAAAACCCACUGGAGGACCGAACCCACUACCGUUGAAAAGUUAGGGGAUGAGUUGUGGAUAGGAGUGAAAGGCUAAUCAAGUUCGGAGAUAGCUGGUUCUCCUCGAAAGCUAUUUAGGUAGCGCCUCGUGUCUCACUCCUGGGGGUAGAGCACUGUUUCGGCUAGGGGGUCAUCCCGACUUACCAACCCGAUGCAAACUCCGAAUACCAGGAAGUGCAAUCACGGGAGACACACGGCGGGUGCUAACGUCCGUCGUGGAGAGGGAAACAACCCAGACCGCCAGCUAAGGUCCCUAAAUCAUCACUUAGUGGGAAACGAUGUGGGAAGGCACAGACAGCCAGGAGGUUGGCUUAGAAGCAGCCAUCCUUUAAAGAAAGCGUAAUAGCUCACUGGUCGAGUCGGCCUGCGCGGAAGAUAUAACGGGGCUCAAGUGAUGUACCGAAGCUGCGGAUGCGUGUUUACACGCAUGGUAGAGGAGCGUUCUGUACGCCUGCGAAGGUGUGCUGUAAGGCAUGCUGGAGGUAUCAGAAGUGCGAAUGCUGACAUGAGUAACGAUAAUGGGGGUGAAAAACCCCCACGCCGAAAGCCCAAGGUUUCCUGCGCAACGUUAAUCGGCGCAGGGUGAGUCGGCCCCUAAGGCGAGGGCGAAAGCCGUAGUCGAUGGGAAUCAGGUUAAUAUUCCUGAACCGCUUAUAACUGCGAUGGGGGGACGGAGAAGGCUAGGUCAGCCGGCUGUUGGAUGUGCCGGUUUAAGCAUGUAGGUAGGUCUCUUAGGCAAAUCCGGGAGACUAUUACUGAGAUGUGAUGACGAGUUCCCUUUUAAGGGAGCGAAGUGAUUGAUGCCAUGCUUCCAGGAAAAUCCUCUAAGCUUCAGGUUAUAAGUGACCGUACCCCAAACGGACACACGUGGGCGGGGUGAGAAUCCCAAGGCGCUUGAGAGAACUCGGGUGAAGGAACUAGGCAAAAUAGCACCGUAACUUCGGGAGAAGGUGUGCCCCUGUUGGUGAUCGGACUUGCUCCGUAAGCUGAUGGGGGUUGCAGUGACCAGGUGGCUGCGACUGUUUACUAAAAACACAGCACUCUGCAAACACGAAAGUGGACGUAUAGGGUGUGACGCCUGCCCGGUGCCGGAAGGUUAAUUGAUGGGGUUAUCUUCGGAGAAGCUCUUGAUCGAAGCCCCGGUAAACGGCGGCCGUAACUAUAACGGUCCUAAGGUAGCGAAAUUCCUUGUCGGGUAAGUUCCGACCUGCACGAAUGGCGUAACGAUGGCCACACUGUCUCCACCCGAGACUCAGUGAAAUUGAAAUCGCUGUGAAGAUGCAGCGUACCCGCGGCAAGACGGAAAGACCCCGUGAACCUUUACUAUAGCUUCACACUGAACUUUGAGCCUGUUUGUGUAGGAUAGCUGGGAGGCUUUGAAGCGGAGACGCCAGUCUUCGUGGAGCCAACCUUGAAAUACCAGCCUGGCAUGUUUGAGGUUCUAACCUCGACCCGUUAUCCGGGUCAGGGACAGUGUGUGGUGGGUAGUUUGACUGGGGCGGUCUCCUCCCAAAGAGUAACGGAGGAGCACGAAGGUACCCUCAGCGCGGUCGGACAUCGCGCAAUGAGUGCAAAGGCAUAAGGGUGCUUGACUGCGAGACGGACAUGUCGAGCAGGUACGAAAGUAGGUCUUAGUGAUCCGGUGGCGCUUUAUGGAAGGGCCAUCGCUCAACGGAUAAAAGGUACUCCGGGGAUAACAGGCUGAUUCUUCCCAAGAGUUCACAUCGACGGGAGAGUUUGGCACCUCGAUGUCGGCUCAUCACAUCCUGGGGCUGUAGUCGGUCCCAAGGGUAUGGCUGUUCGCCAUUUAAAGUGGUACGCGAGCUGGGUUUAGAACGUCGUGAGACAGUUCGGUCCCUAUCUGCCGUGGGCGUUUGAGAUUUGAAUGGAGCUGCUCCUAGUACGAGAGGACCGGAGUGGACGUUCCUCUGGUGUUCCGGUUGUCACGCCAGUGGCAUUGCCGGGUAGCUAUGAACGGACAGGAUAACCGCUGAAAGCAUCUAAGCGGGAAGCCCCCCAUAAGAUGAGAUCUCACUGGAGCCUUGAGCUCCCUAAAGGGUCGUCGAAGACUACGACGUUGAUAGGCUGGAUGUGGAAGCGCAGUAAUGUGCGAAGCUAACCAGUACUAAUUGCCCGUGAGGCUUGACC